UACGUAGGAGGCAAGCGUUGUCCGGAAUUACUGGGCGUAAAGCGCGUGUAGGUGGUGGGACAAGUCUGCUGUGAAAGCUCCCGGCUCAACUGGGAGAGGUCAAGGGAAACUGUUGGGCUAGAGUGUGGUAGAGGAAGCUGGAAUUCCCGGUGUAGCGGUGAAAUGCGCAGAUAUCAGGAGGAACACCGGUGGCGAAGGCGGGUCUCUGGGCCGUAACUGACGCUGAGGAGCGAAAGCGUGGGGAGCGAACAGG
rnacentral:rRNA from 1 species